rnacentral:rRNA from 1 species
AACGCUAGCUACAGGCUUAACACAUGCAAGUCGAGGGGAAACGACAUCGAAAGCUUGCUUUUGAUGGGCGUCGACCGGCGCACGGGUGAGUAACGCGUAUCCAACCUGCCCACCACUUGGGGAUAACCUUGCGAAAGUAAGACUAAUACCCAAUGAUAUCUCUAGAAGACAUCUGAAAGGGAUUAAAGAUUUAUCGGUGAUGGAUGGGGAUGCGUCUGAUUAGCUUGUUGGCGGGGUAACGGCCCACCAAGGCUACGAUCAGUAGGGGUUCUGAGAGGAAGGUCCCCCACAUUGGAACUGAGACACGGUCCAAACUCCUACGGGAGGCAGCAGUGAGGAAUAUUGGUCAAUGGGCGAGAGCCUGAACCAGCCAAGUAGCGUGCAGGAUGACGGCUCUAUGGGCUGUAAACUGCUUUUAUAAGGGAAUAAAGUGAGUCUCGUGAGACUUUUUGCAUGUACCUUAUGAAUAAGGACCGGCUAAUUCCGUGCCAGCAGCCGCGGUAAUACGGAAGGUCCGGGCGUUAUCCGGAUUUAUUGGGUUUAAAGGGAGCGUAGGCCGGAGAUUAAGCGUGUUGUGAAAUGUAGAUGCUCAACAUCUGCACUGCAGCGCGAACUGGUUUCCUUGAGUACGCACAAAGUGGGCGGAAUUCGUGGUGUAGCGGUGAAAUGCUUAGAUAUCACGAAGAACUCCGAUUG